AAGGCACACGGUGGAUGCCUUGGCACCAAGAGCCGAUGAAGGACGCGGCACGGCUGCGAUAAGCCUCGGUUAGCUGCCCAGCAAGCUCAGCCGGGGAUUUCCGAAUGGGGAAACCCAUCCCGAUGAACUCGGGAUAUCCAUAGCUGAACACAUAGGCUAUGAGAAGGUAAGUGGGGGAAGUGAAACAUCUCAGUACCCCGAGGAAAAUAAAAAGACAUUGAUUCUCCUAGUAGUGGCGAACGAACGGGGAACAGCCCAAACCUGGUAAGCCUAACGGCCUUGAAGCUUAUGCUUAUCAGGGGUUGCAAGACAGGUUAGAUUCAGUUCAAGAUGAGUCGAGGAGUUACAAACCAAACUCUAGCCAAAGGUCUCUGGAACGAGCUACCACAGAUGGUGAUAGUCCAGUAGGCGAAAGAGGUAGGCUCCUAAUCUGUUCUUAAGUACCACGGGGCACGUGAAACCUUGUGGGAAUCUGCCCUGACCAUGGGGCAAGGCUAAAUACUCUUGGUGACCGAUAGUGAACAAGUACCGUGAGGGAAAGGUGAAAAGAACCCCGGGAGGGGAGUGAAAUAGAACCUGAAACCGUGUGCUUACAAGCAGUCAGAGUCCCGAUUUAUCGGGAUGAUGGCGUGCCUAUCGAAGAAUGAUCCGGUGAGUUAAUCUAUGUAGCAGGUUAAGCAAUUAAGUUGCGGAGCCAAAGCGAAAGCGAGUCUGAAUAGGGCGAUGGUUGCAUGGAUUAGACGCGAAGCGGGGUGAGCUAGCCAUGGCCAGGGUGAAGCUCCGAUAAAACGGAGUGGAGGCCCGAACCUUUCAACGUUGCAAAGUUGUGGGAUGAGCUGUGGUUAGAGGUGAUAUGCCAACCGAACUCCGUGAUAGCUCGUUCUCCCCGAAAUGUAUUGACGUACAGCCUCAGGUAAUAGUUAAUGGAGGUAGGGCACUGGAUGGACUAGGGGGCAGACGCCUACCAACUCCAACCAAACCACGAAUGCCAUUAACCGUACCCUGGGAGUGAGACCAUGGGGGAUAAGCUCCAUAGGUCAAAAGGGAAACAGCCCAGAUCAUCAGCUAAGGUCCCAAAGCAUAGACUAAGUGGUAAAUGAGGUAGAACUGCACAGACAUCCAGUAGGUUGGCUUAGAAGCAGCCAUCCUUUAAAGAGUGCGUAAUAGCUCACUGGUUGAGUGGUGCUGCGCAAACAAUCCAACGGGGCUAAGUCUAUCACCGAAGCUAUGGGAUCCGAUUUAUUCGGAUCGGUAGGGGAGCGUUCCCUUCGCAUCGAAGUCGUUAUGUAAGUAACGGUGGAGCGCUGGGAAGUGAGAAUGCCGGAAUAAGUAGCGUAAGAUGUGUGAGAAACACAUCCACCGAAUGCCUGAGGUUUCCUACGCAAGGUUAAUCCGCGUAGGGUUAGUCGGUCCUAAGCUGAGGCCGAAAGGCGUAAGCGAUGGACAGCAGGUCAACAUUCCUGCACCACUUUUAUGGAGAUAAAGGGGUGACGCAGGAGGAUAGGUUGAGCAUGCCUAUUGGACAUGGUGUGUCACUUAUCUUAGGCAAUACCGGGGCAGGAAAAUCCACUCCGGUUGUUAAGCUGAGGAUAAGGGGAAGCUGAUUGGAAACAUGAUGCGAUUCAGCUGAAUCCAUGCUGCCUAGAAAACCCUCGUUAUCUGUGAAGUAAGAGUGUCCGUACCGCAAACCGACUCUGGUAGGCGGGGAUAAAAGUCCCAAGGUGAUCGAGAUAACCCACUUUAAGGAACUCGGCAAUCUAACCCCGUAACUUCGGGAUAAGGGGGACCCGUCUUUUGGUGGGUGGCACGAAAAUGGCUCGAGUGACUGUUUAUCAAAAACACAGGUCUCUGCUAAAGCGAAAGCUGAAGUAUAGGGGCCGAUACCUGCCCAGCGCCGGAAGGUUAAGGGGAGAUGUUUUAAAAGCAUUGAACCGAAGCCCCGGUGAGCGGCGGCCGUAACUAUAACGGUCCUAAGGUAGCGAAGUCCCUUGUCGGGUAAGUUCCGACCUGCACGAAUGGUGUAACAACUUGAGCGCUGUCUCAAAGUGGGACUCGGCGAAAUUGAAAUACCCGUGAAGAUGCGGGUUACCCGUGACAGGACAAAAAGACCCCGUGGAGCUUUACUAUAGCUUGGCAUUGAGUCUGGGUUUAUCAUAUGUAGGAUAGGUGGGAGGCUUUGAAGCCGGGGCGCCAGCUCCGGUGGAGCCAACGGUGAAAUACCACUUUUGAUAAAUCUAGUCUCUAACUCCAGAUCAAGCUGGAGGACAAUGCCUGGUGGGUAGUUUGACUGGGGCGGUCGCCUCCUAAAAUGUAACGGAGGCGCCCAAAGGUCCCCUCAGGGUGGAUGGAAAUCACCCAUUGAGUGCAUUGGCAUAAGGGGGCUUGACUGUAAGACACACAAGUCGAGCAGGCAGGAAACUGGGGCAAAGUGAUCCUACGA
rnacentral:rRNA from 1 species